rnacentral:rRNA from 1 species
UGGGGAAUUUUGGACAAUGGGCGCAAGCCUGAUCCAGCCAUGCCGCGUGCAGGAUGAAGGCCCUCGGGUUGUAAACUGCUUUUGUACGGAACGAAAAGCCUCUUUCUAAUAAAGAGGGGUGAUGACGGUACCGUAAGAAUAAGCACCGGCUAACUACGUGCCAGCAGCCGCGGUAAUACGUAGGGUGCGAGCGUUAAUCGGAAUUACUGGGCGUAAAGCGUGCGCAGGCGGUCUUGCAAGACAGUGGUGAAAUCCCCGGGCUCAACCUGGGAACUGCCAUUGUGACUGCAAGGCUGGAGUACGGCAGAGGGGGUUGGAAUUCCGCGUGUAGCAGUGAAAUGCGUAGAUAUGCGGAGGAACACCGAUGGCGAAGGCAGUCCCCUGGGCCUGUACUGACGCUCAUGCACGAAAGCGUGGGGAGCAAACA